rnacentral:misc_RNA from 1 species
CGCACCUUGCGCUCGCUGGUAUUCCGGCGAGCAUGCCUGUUUGAGUGUCAUGAACUCUUCAACCCUCCAGUUCCUUGUUUGAACUGCGAGGUGCUUGGAUCUUGAACACUGCUGGCUCUUUCGAGAGCGAAGCUUGUUCGUAAUGCAUUAGCAAUCUCAAUUUCGAAUAUAAUUCGGUUUGACUCGGCGUGAUAGACUUAUAUUCGCUGAGGACAUUACAUUUACUGUGGUGGCCGAAUUUCGAAGUAGAAGCUUCAAACACAAAAGUCUCCUUUAAGAUUAGACCUCAGAUCAGGCAGGACUACCCGCUGAACUUAA